UGAUAUAAAUAUGAUUGUAGUUUAAAAUUAUUUUUUUAUUGAUAUUAUUCUGAAAAAAUUUAUUUAUUUUUUUUGUUUUACCAUUAUGUAGUGUGCUAUUAUGUCUGAAUGGUGUCGUGUAAAGUGGCUUGAAGAAGAAAAAGUUUACUCUGACACUGUUCCUUUAAGUUGGAUUAAUGGUAAAGUUUUGAGAUGGCCAAAAAAAGGGGCUGAAAAAAAGUUAAGGGACCAGGUUGAACCUCAAGAUGAUUGGUUUAAAUUUCAAGUUCUCAAAAUUAAAUUAACUGAUAAAGAUUUUAUGACUUGCCAUUCAUAUAAUAUUACAACUGAUACUGACUCUCGUGAUUUUGUUUUGAAAAAAAAUGUCUCAAGUUGCAAAAAAAGUUUGCAGUACGCUUCCUCCAAAGCAUGAAAUCAAAUUAGGUUUUAGAAAUAAAAAAGCAUUUCCUUCAGAAUCAGAAAGCGAAAACCUAAAUCUUUCACAAGAAGCUAGUCAGAAUAAAAUAAAUAUUGAUUUGAAUCAACCUACCCAGUCAGUAUUUAGUUUUCAAAGUUCAUCAAAAUUCCAUAAUUCAAGGAAAUCACGCUCUCGAUCUUCCAGAUCACUAUUUCCUCGAUCACUAUUUCCUCAGAGUAAAAGUAAAAGAAGAUUAUUGUUCUCUUUUACAAUCAGAGAAAAUUGAAACACAGAGUGAACUCUCUUGUGGAUUACCAAAAAGUAAAGAACAUUUUACUCUGGCUAUUAACAGAAAUAACUUUGCAAUGGGUGAUCAAAAAUUCCAGUAUGAAGUCAUCGAGUUACUGUGUGAACUUAAAACAUGUUUACAAUGUCAAUCCAAAAGUACAUUUAAGUGUGGGAAUUCCAACUCAAUUCUUGACAGUAGAAGAUUUGAAUGAAUUUGAACUUAAAAUGCAUGAUAAUAGUUUUGCACAAGAAUUUGUUAAACAACUCUUACGUGUUGGUGGAAACCUAAAUGUAUGGUUAAGGACCUAAUCCAAAGAUUGAUGUCAAAUGAGUUUCAGACGAAAUUCAGCAUGAUUGGUUUAAAAGGAAAGCUUAUGUUUGAAAAAACUUUGUUGUAUAAUGUAAUAAAUAAAGCAGUAUUAAAUGUCUUUCUGAUGCUACCAGCUCAGAAGUACCAAUAGAAAUGAUGAACCAUUGAAAAUAUGCUGCAGAUCGUAAAAAACUGGAAAACACUUCGGACAAGCACCAGUAAUGAUGUCAUGUCUAUCAGUUCGAAUUUUGCAGAAGAAGCCAGUAAAACAUAGUUUUUAUAUAAUUUUUUCAUAUUAUAGAUAAGAAAUACAAAGAUAUACAAUGACAUCAAGGUCUACAAUAUGGAGAAAGACUAAUUCGUUGAUUGCCAGUAUAUUAGAUAAUAAUAAUUAUCAAAGUUCAACUGGAUUUUGCUCAAAGAUUUUCUGUCAAUAAUUUUUCAAAAAAAGGAAAACUCAGUGUCAAACAAAGAAUACACAAAUUAAUUGAGAUAUGCUAGAAGGUUGGAAAGAAUGUAAAAAUCAAACUAGUUUCACUCUAAGUUAUUGUAUAUAAUUUUAAAAUUUUGAAAUAGAAGUAUUGUAAAGUUUA